CACGCGUACCCAUCCCGAACACGACCGUUAAGCCUUCCAGCGCCGAUGGUACUUGGACCGAAGGGUCCCGGGAGAGUAGGACGUCGCCAAGC
rnacentral:rRNA from 1 species